rnacentral:rRNA from 1 species
AUUGAACGCUGGCGGCAGGCUUAACACAUGCAAGUCGAACGGUAGCAGGAGAAAGCUUGCUUUCUUGCUGACGAGUGGCGGACGGGUGAGUAAUGCUUGGGCAUCUGGCUUAUGGAGGGGGAUAACUACGGGAAACUGUAGCUAAUACCGCGUAGAAUCGGCAGAUGAAAGGGCGGGACCGCAAGGCCGCAUGCCAUGAGAUGAGCCCAGGUGGGAUUAGGUAGUUGGUGGGGUAAGGGCCUACCAAGCCUGCGAUCUCUAGCUGGUCUGAGAGGAUGGCCAGCCAUACUGGAGCUGAGACACGGUCCAGGCUCCUACGAGAGGCAGCAGUGGGGAAUAGUGCGCAAUGGUGGGAACCCUGACGCAGCCAUGCCGAGUGAAUGAAGACGGCGUUCGGGUUGUAAAGUUCUUUCGGUAUUGAGGAAGGUUGUUGUGUUAAUAGUACAUCAAAGUGACGUUAAAGACAGAAGAAGCACCGGCUAACUCCGUG